rnacentral:rRNA from 1 species
GUCGUGGCGUCUGCUGCGUGCUGGGCCGACCCUCCCACCCGUGUCGAUUUGUAUCUUGUUGCUUUGGCGGGCCGGGCCGCGUCGUCGCUGCCCGCAUGGGACAUGCGUCGGCCGCCCACCGGUUUCACGACUGGAGCGCGUCCGCCAAAGACCCAACCAAAAACUCAUGUUGUCUGUGUCGUCUCAGCUUUAUUAUGAAAAUUGAUAAAACUUUCAACAACGGAUCUCUUGGCUCUGGCAUCGAUGAAAAACGCAGCGAAAUGCGAUAAGUAAUGUGAAUUGCAGAAUUUAGUGAAUCAUCGAAUCUUUGAACGCACAUUGCGCCCCUUGGUAUUCCGAGGGGCAUGCCUGUUCGAGCGUCAUAACACCCCCUCCAGCUGCCUUUGUGUGGCUGCGGUGUUGGGGCUCUCGCGAUGCGGCGGCCCUUAAAGACAGUGGCGGUCCCGGCGUGGGCUCUACGCGUAGUAACUUGCUUCUCGCGACAGAGUGACGACGGUGGCUUGCCAGAACAACCCCCUUUAGCUCCAGUCACAUGGAUCACAGGUUGACCUCGAAUCAGGUAGGAAUACCCGCUGAACUUAAGCAUAUCAAUAAGCGGAGGA